rnacentral:tRNA from 1 species
GGGGCCUUAGCUCAGCUGGGAGAGCGCCUGCUUUGCAAGCAGAUGGUCGUCGGUUCGAACCCGACAGGCUCCA